rnacentral:rRNA from 1 species
AUUGAACGCUGGCGGCAUGCCUUACACAUGCAAGUCGAACGGCAGCACGGGUGCUUGCACCUGGUGGCGAGUGGCGAACGGGUGAGUAAUACAUCGGAACGUACCUUAUCGUGGGGGAUAACACAUUGAAAAAUUUGCUAAUACCGCAUAAUACUCUGAGGAGGAAAGAGGGGGAUUCGUAAGAACCUCGUUCGAUUAGAGCGGCCGAUGGCUGAUUAGCUAGUUGGUGAGGUAAAGGCCCACCAAGGCAAUGAUCAGUAGCAGGUCUGAGAGGAUGAUCUGCCACACUGGAACUGAGAAACGGUCCAGACUCCUACGGGAGGCAGCAGUGGGGAAUUUUGGACAAUGGGGGCAACCCUGAUCCAGCAAUGCCGCGUGAGUGAAGAAGGCCUUCGGGUUGUAAAGCUCUUUUGUCAGUGAAGAAAACUUUAAUAAUAACACUACUAAAGCAUGACGGUAACUGAAGAAUAAGGACCGGCUAACUACGUGCCAGCAGCCGCCGUAA